CACGUUCUGUAAAUUUCCGCGGUCACAUUAAUAACAACCUACAUAAAUUAUGUCAGAACUAAUGCAACUCUCUUGUGAUGUUUUCCGCUUUUGGGCAGUUGCUCGUGCGUUGAGUGAAGCCCUGAUAAUUUUUUAUAUAUAUUUUUGUGCAGAAGCUUUCACCAGCUAUUCUGAGAAAUUAUGCGCAUUUUCAGGAACAUACCUUACCUAAAUAUUUAGGUUUAUGUAGGCGAAAAAAGUCAAUUUCUGCUACUUACACAAAAUUUUUUUUACAUCACAUGCUACAAGGACACUUUAUUUGAGAGCCAGUUCCUUCUGUCAUUUUAUGUUAUCUGAACAACAUCUCUGAGGUAGGGGUGCAUUUGGUUUGCAACUCGCAUUUUAAAGCUUAGUGCACAUUUUGUAAAGUACAGCAGUGAAGCAAAUGAACACGAACACUCUAUAAUGUUGUAAAUAAAAAAUAUAUUUGUGA
rnacentral:lncRNA from 1 species